AGAAGGUUUUUCACUUCAGAACAAACACACGACUUUGAGAAAGUGGGAAUAAUGCAGAAGAUAAAAUUUAGAAUGAAGAAAUCUUUCAAUUACCAUUCAUGCCCACAACUCAAACACAUUGCAGGUUCGAAAGGGGAAAAGCACGUGGAGCAAUGUUGUAUUAUUGACAACUGAAGCAUUUGAGUUUGUGGCAUCAGUGCAAUUUUUGGUUCUUGAAUUGUUUUGUAUUGAGGAUGUCUCUCAUAGAUUGGAUCCAAUAAUUGUAACUCUUGUACUAAAAUUAGUUGUUUUCAAUAAAAUUUUAGUAUUUGAACGUAAAAGAACUUCAAAAAUCGAUUGUUAUCCAGUUCCAAAUAGUAAACAUGUUAA